GAAUACCGCCGGAAGUAGAACAUUUGUGUCAACACCGGUUUCGUAUUUUCACGUGAAAACGGCCGAAAACUGAGAGGUUAUCAACAAAUUAUAAGUUUACGGGUACCAUGAGGAUUUUUCAUGCAUUUAAACGACAGAAGUACAAGCGAACAGAUGACACAUUAAAGUGGCUGCAGAAGCUUGAAAAAUUAGAUAGAGCAUGGCCAGUCAAAACAGUGGGAUAAUACUUCUAUGGUGUCCAACAUGUCUAGUCAGGUUGACAGAAGUGAAAGAUGGUCUGAUGGUACAAUGAUGUACAAAUGAUACGCUUUAACAAGUUUAACAUGACAAGGUGUAAAAUGUUCUGUGGAUUCAUAUGAUGAGAAUGCCAGUGUUGAUCUGUAUGACUUAAUUAAACACAGAUAUUGAUACCUUCAGAUAUAUACCUGUGAAAUCUUCAGUGUCACCGUUCAGCUAUUGUUCAAGAUCAGUGUCUGCAGCUUGCACAGUUUAGUAUAGAGGAGCCUUCUAAAUAAACUUUGUUACAUAUUUGCUGUUAUUGUAGGACACACCUGUAGAGAGCAGCAAGUCCUGUCCAGCCGUGCAUGUAAAUGUGAUUCAGAAACUUUGAGAAUAUGUAAACAUUACACUGUUAUAAUUUUCAAAAUACUGUGUCUUGUAGUGUAUCAGUACUGUUUUGUCUCAGCUUAUAGCACAGUAUGUUCACAAAUCAAACUUAAGACCAUAGUGAUCAGUAUUAUUAAAAUCAUUAAUUAUUUGUAUGGUGACAAAAUUUAAUUUCAUGCAAUGCCACAGUAAAACGUUUGAUAAUUUUCGCUUUUAAAGUUGUAAGUUUAAGGUUGGCAUAAAUUGUUGUUUUUUUUUCUUUCAUAAAUCUAAAAAGUGAUUGGUCAUUAUAACUGCAA